CAGUAAAUGUAUCAAUAAAAUUAAUUUUUUAAAAACCAGCAAAGUCUGGAUAACAACACAGAUAGGUUAUGCAAUCAUCAAAUUGCUGACUUUUGUUGAAUGAUCCGCAGCUCCGUCCCUGUGGUAGUCCUGCCUUUCACUCUACUGCAAGGACUAGAACUAAGCAAAAAUCCUUGCUGAGUUCUUUCCCUUGGUGACAGGUCCACCCCGACCAGGAGCUGCAACAGGUGCUGAAAUGGGUAGAGGAAUUCCCAAGUGCCUUUCCUCUCUGGUUCUGUGGAAGUAGAGCUCACCUGGUAAUCUAUGACCCUGACUACAUGAAAAUGGGGAGAUCAGAUCCAAAGGCCAAUUCUGCCUACAGAUUCCUGGCACCCUGGAUUGGUAUGUAUAUCUAAGAUACGAGCACAGUCCCUGCCCAGUAAGUUUCCCAAGCACCAUGUCUCUGGCUUAUAGAGGACAACGGAUACCCAGACACCACUGUCGUGAACCACUCCUCUAUCAACCCUCACUGUUCUUCUUCUCAUCAGACUCUUAUUCCCUCCUAAUGCUGAAAUGAGUCCUCCUGAAGCUCAGCUUCUGCCACAUCUCUUGAAAUAUUGCCAGCCUGGCAUCUAUUUAUGCCCCUCCUUGACCUGCCCUCAACACUUUUUUAACCUUUAUCUAAGAGUUGCCAUAAUCACAGCAGAUGGACCAACACAAGUGGGAAAUCCACAUUCCUGAAUGUAUGUGUCCUUCCUGCCUUGUCCUAGAAAUUCCGCCUUCUGAGGGUUGUCUGCACCAGUUCCACAGCACAGUUCCUCCCAAAUUAUCCAGGGAUCUGAUUCUGUCACACACUCACACACACACACACACACACACACACACACACACAAACACCUAUCUCUGCCCAGGGUAUGGUUUGCUCCUAUUGAAUGGCCAGACGUGGUUCUAGCACCGGCGGAUGUUGACCCCAGCCUUCCACUAUGACAUCCUGAAGCCCUACUUGGAAACCAUGGCUGACUCUGUUCGAGUGAAGUUCAUGAGUCUCUCUCUUGCCAAGUUACGCUGCCAAACAACAGAACUACUUGUCCCUGGCAAGGGAGCGGCUCAUCAGUCAGGACUCUCCUCUGGAGAUCUUCCAACACAUCUCCUUGAUGACACUGGACUCUAGUGCGCCUUCAGCUACCAGGGCAGUGUCCAACUGGAUGGGUCAGUGGUAGGCCUUUGGCUACAAGGUUCUUAUUCUUGCUACUGAUAUGGACUCACCCGAGAGGCAGGUGGGGGAGCUAACCUGGUACAGUCAACCACAUUUGCUUUGCGCUAUUCCUACUACAAAGCAAGAUUCUGGCUCUAGCCCUAGGCCUACUGUAAUUUCAGUCUAGAUCCAACCCUACCCCAGAUACAUAGCUCUGAUUCCCAGCAUGCCUGGAAGCCCAGAUGCUCCUGUCAUCUUUUAAAGGCCCAAGGACCACAAUGGCUGUAAGACAGAAGUAACACAUGCUUCAGUGCUGCGUGUCCCCACCUUUGAGGGAAUUACCACUCUACCAUCAAGUCAGACCUCCUAAAUGACAGGCUCUGCACUGGGGCUCAGGUACCAGUGCCUGACCAGCUUAGAACAGGGCCGGAGUCCACAUCUCACUGCACUGUCACUGUCUGGCCCAGGAAAUGCUUUGGGAAACAAUUUGCCAUGAAUGAACUGAAGUUGGCUGUGGCCCUGACCCUGCUCCUUUUUGAGCUACUGCCAGAUCCCACCAGGGUCCCCUUCCCAAUACCACGACUUGUGUUGAAGUCCAAGAAUGGGAUCCAUCUUCAUCUUCGGAAGCUCCACUAACCCUGGUGAGUCAACAACAGGCUCUGAGGGUCUCAUGCCUACUAUCUGGUCUUCCUGUCACCUGCUUCUCUCCCCAGCCUGUCCAUUCAUCUGCUUUCUACCUGCUCACCUUCCUGUUGUCCUGCCUCCUUUCUGUCUGCCCUUCUCUCUCUCACUUUUCCUUAGGCUCCUUACCAGUUUGCCUGUCUACAUAUCUUCUUCCUGCCUGCAUCUCUCACUGCCUAUCUACGCCCUGAUCACCUGCCUAUCCUUCAGCCUACCUACCACUCUACCCGUUUUUUCUUUUUCUACUUGCUUUUUUUUUCUAUAUGAGCUUCCUACUGCUUCUAUAAUCAACUACCACAACCUUUAUGGUUUUAAGUAACAGAAAGCUAUUCUCUUAUAUUUCUGGAGCUCAGAAUCUGAAAUGGGUAUCACUGGGAGAAGAUCCAGUUGUUGAUGUGGCCGACCGCUUCUGCAGGGUCCAGGAGAGAACCUUUCUGCUUGCCUUUCCACUCUAGAGAUGAAUUCUUUGCAUUCCUUGAACCUGUCACUUCUUCUUUCUUUAAAGGAUAAUUUACCCAUCUCAAAAUCUUUUACUCAACCUGUCAACCUUUAGAGUUCCUUUGACAUAUGAGAUAACAUAUUCAUGGGCUUCAAAGUUGAGGCCUGGGACAUCCUUGGAAGACAUUAUUCAGCCUGGCAUUGUCCCUCCCCAACUAUCAUCUGAUUUCUCUCCUGCAUGGUCUCUGUCUACCUGUGUGUCUCUCACUCAAGCCUUUCCAUCUCCCUCGUUCCUGAAAUAAAGUUCUUAAUGCCACA